GAUGAAGAACGCAGCGAAAUGCGAUAAGUAAUGUGAAUUGCAGAAUUCAGUGAAUCAUCGAAUCUUUGAACGCACAUUGCGCCCCUUGGUAUUCCGGGGGGCAUGCCUGUUCGAGCGUCAUUUCAACCCUCAAGCUUCUGCUUGGUCUUGGGCCGUGCCGGCAACGGCUGGCCUUAAAACUAGUGGCGGUGCCAUCGAGCUCUACGCGUAGUAAUUCUAUCUCGCGUCUGGGCUUCGGUGGACGCUGGCCAGCAACCCCCAAUUUUCUAUGGUUGACCUCGGUCAGGUAGGGAUACCCGCUGAACUUAAGCAUAUCAAUAAGCGGAGGA
rnacentral:misc_RNA from 1 species